rfam:Stegodyphus mimosarum contig106118, whole genome shotgun sequence.
GCCUUCGUGGUGUAGUGGUCUGCAUGAUCGACGCGUAACCGAGAGGUCGGUGGUUCGAUUCCCGGCGAAGGCG